AAUGUGGAAAAAUCAUACAGAAAUUAACAACAGAAAUUCAUUUGUAUUCAAAUAAUUUAAGUUGAAAAUUAUGUAAUUUUCUUUGACUAAGAGACCACUUGGGUUUCCAGUACAGCCCCCAUCCACUAAAUUUUAGAAGUGUGCUAAUGAUUUGAAAAAUAUAAUUUUGUGUGUCUGAGGCAGGUACUUUAAUGUUUCCUCAGUAAGCAAGGACAUAGCAGUAAAGUAGUAGAGAGGAUGCUCACUGAAGACGAAUAGAAGUUGGGUGUCAGGAAAGGAAAAGGAGUACCUUUUUCCAGAAUUCCUCAGUUCAGUGGUGAUUCAGUGAAAGUGCCUGGCUACCAAAGGCUUGUAAAACAAAAGGUAGGUCUAGUAAUGUGACUAGCCACUACCCAGGACCAGAAAUCGCUGCUGAGGAAAAUUAAAAGCCAUUACUCUCAAGCAGAACAAUUUCAGUUCAAAAUAUCAGAAGAUAGAAUGCAUAUACAGGUAGUUACAUUGUAGCACAUGUCAGACACUGCCCCAAAGGGUGGAAGAAUCAACAAUGAUCAAUGGCAUGAGAACAGAGAAGGAAAUGGAAACCACUGUGUCAAACACACAUGAUGUGUACCCACAGGAAAUAUGUCUGUAAUUAAAAAGUGUCAGAAUGACCUCUUCAUUGCUUGAAGAUUCUGGAUUAGUCUCCGAUUCUGAUCCAUGGAGGGGACUG